GGCCAAGUUAAACAAGCAUCAGAGUUCGAGGAUAAUGAAGCGUAAAUGCUAGUAGCCAGCUGGGGGUAUUGCAACCCCUGGUAAGUCCCUAUUUUCCUUCUUUUUUUUCCAUUUUUUAUCUGUGCAAUUUAAUUACGGAAAUAUGUGGAAAGCAAAAAUUAAGCUCUAUUUUUUACUUUGUGCGAGGUAAACAAAAGCAUCAAUAAUCAAUUUCAAUUAAGGGCAACUAUAGGACGAUUCAAGAAUUUGAACUAUCAGCGAUGGAAGAAUUUCCUCAAAUGAAGUGUCGGCACCUCCUCCUAUAGUUUCUCAAUAUCCAUUUCUUGAGGAUGAGAUGGGCUCAAUUUGGAAAGAGCUGGAUAGAAAACUUAGAGAUCUUCUUGAACUUGGUAGGUCAGGAGUGGUUCUUCCCGUUGUAACUGCGAUCUGCGAGUCAAAAGCUUCGCACGAAUGAAAAGCUCCUUAGCAAAACUAAAGUUGAUAGAUAGCAUUCGGCGACGUCUAAACUCUAUGGGCUUUGGCCACAUCAUCUGGCUAUUUCUGGAGGCCGUGGUCUUUGGCCAUGGUUACUGGCAAUGUCUGGAUGCUGCCUGUCUUUGGCUACGAGAUUUCUGGCGACAUCCGAAUGCUUUGAUUCAUCGUGAUCAAGGGAACCAUACACUGUUUUUGAAGAUGGACUCAAUUUGGAAGGAGCUGUGUAUAUAAUUUAGAGAUCUUCUUGGAUUUGAGAGGUCAGGAGUGGUUUGAUACAUCGUAACCGUGAGUCAAUAGUUUCGCACGAAUGAAAGGAAGGUUAGAACUUUACACUGUUUUUCUUUGUUGUCGUAGGCAUGCUGAA